rnacentral:rRNA from 1 species
GAUGAACGCUAGCUACAGGCUUAACACAUGCAAGUCGAGGGGCAGCAUGAAUAUUGGCUUGCCAAUAUUUGAUGGCGACCGGCGCACGGGUGAGUAACACGUAUCCAACCUUCCGGUUACUCGGGGAUAGGCUUUCGAAAGAAAGAUUAAUACCCGAUGUUGUGUAUCUUUCUCCUGAAAGAUACGCCAAAGGAUUCCGGUAACCGAUGGGGAUGCGUUCCAUUAGGCAGUUGGCGGGGUAACGGCCCACCAAACCUUCGAUGGAUAGGGGUUCUGAGAGGAAGGUUCCCCACAUUGGAACUGAGACACGGUCCAAACUCCUACGGGAGGCAGCAGUGAGGAAUAUUGGUCAAUGGACGGAAGUCUGAACCAGCCAAGUAGCGUGAAGGAUGACUGCCCUCUGGGUUGUAAACUUCUUUUAUACGGGAAUAACAUGAGGUACGCGUACCUUAUUGCAUGUACCGUUAUGAAUAAGCAUCGGCUAACUCCGUGCCAGCAGCCGCGGUAAUACGGAGGAUGCGAGCGUUAUCCGGAUUUAUUGGGUUUAAAGGGAGCGUAGGUGGGAUAUUAAGUCAGCUGUGAAAGUUUGGGGCUCAACCUUAAAAUUGCAGUUGAUACUGGUUUCCUUGAGUACGGUACAGGUGGGCGGAAUUCGUGGUGUAGCGGUGAAAUGCUUAGAUAUCACGAAGAACUCCGAUCGCGAAGGCAGCUCACCGGGCCGGAACUGACACUGAUGCUCGAAAGUGCGGGUAUCAAACAGGAUUAGAUACCCUGGUAGUCCGCACAGUAAACGAUGAAUACUCGCUGUUUGCGAUACACUGUAAGCGGCCAAGCGAAAGCGUUAAGUAUUCCACCUGGGGAGUACGCCGGCAACGGUGAAACUCAAAGGAAUUGACGGGGGCCCGCACAAGCGGAGGAACAUGUGGUUUAAUUCGAUGAUACGCGAGGAACCUUACCCGGGCUUAAAUUGCGCUGGCUUUUACCGGAAACGGUAUUUUCUUCGGACCAGCGUGAAGGUGCUGCAUGGUUGUCGUCAGCUCGUGCCGUGAGGUGUCGGCUUAAGUGCCAUAACGAGCGCAACCCUUAUCUUUAGUUACUAACAGUUUUGCUGAGGACUCUAAAGAGACUGCCGUCGUAAGAUGCGAGGAAGGUGGGGAUGACGUCAAAUCAGCACGGCCCUUACGUCCGGGGCUACACACGUGUUACAAUGGGGAGCACAGCAGGUUGCUACACGGCGACGUGAUGCCAAUCCGUAAAACUCCUCUCAGUUCGGAUCGAAGUCUGCAACCCGACUUCGUGAAGCUGGAUUCGCUAGUAAUCGCGCAUCAGCCACGGCGCGGUGAAUACGUUCCCGGGCCU